AUAACACUUCUCGAUUUGGUGUGAUAUGAAAGGUGCACCCCGAGUCUAGAAUCCACUCAAGACUUAGUGUCAUGUACACUCGCAGUUAGAACCAUAGGAUACUCUUUGUCCUUUGCCACAUUUGCCGCAUUCUGAGAUCUCUGAUCUUUUCUCUCAGGGCAUUCUCAUUUGAAAUGACCUUCUUUUCCACAGAUCCAACACUCCCUC
rnacentral:lncRNA from 1 species